GACGAACGCUGGCGGCGUGCCUAAUACAUGCAAGCCGAACGAAGCUGUUUUAACUGGUGCUUGCACCGACUUAAACAACUGAGUGGCGAACGGGUGAGUAACACGUGGGUAACCUGCCCCAAAGCGGGGGAUAACAUUUGGAAACAGAUGCUAAUACCGCAUAACCACAGAAACCACAUGGUUUCUGUGUCAAAGAUGGUUUGGCUAUCACUUUGGGAUGGACCCGCGGCGUAUUAGCUAGUUGGUAAGGUAAUGGCUUACCAAGGCAAUGAUACGUAGCCGAACUGAGAGGUUGAUCGGCCACAUUGGGACUGAGACACGGCCCAAACUCCUACGGGAGGCAGCAGUAGGGAAUCUUCCACAAUGGACGAAAGUCUGAUGGAGCAACGCCGCGCGAGUGAAGAAGGUUUUCGGAUCGUAAAACUCUGUUGUCAGAGAAGAACGUGUGCGAGAGUAACUGUUCGUGCAGUGACGGUAUCUGGCCAGAAAGCCACGGCUAACUACGUGCCAGCCGCCGCCGUAA
rnacentral:rRNA from 1 species